CUCUCUGGGGCGUACUGGGUUUAUAAUAACUCUAUCAAAAACCUAAAGACCGUUAUCAUGUCGCUGUAUUUCGCUGAGUCAUUGCUGUUUUUUCAUGUUUAGCAUCAAAUCUCUUUAUGCACCUCUGAGACCGUCGCCUGGCAACCAUCCAAGCAACCAUCUCCAAAGCAGCCAAUGAGGUGACAGCAUGACAGAUGAGAGGGCUCUCUCUCUCUCACACACACACACGAAAAAAAAAAAAUCGCACCUGACUGCAGGGUAAUGACGCCAAAUCGAGGCUCAUGGGAGAUGUGGUCCUUUCCUCCUCCUGUCCUCCAGGUAUUUGCCUCGCCGACCAAAAAUAGCUUCAUUAAUCAUCUUAUAGUCUGCGCUGCAAACACACACACACACACACACACACACACACACACACACACACACACACACACACACACACACAAGUGUUAGUAAGUUACUCAGCAGCAGGUGCAGACUGUAACACCAGACAUGUUUGUUAUAACAAAUACAAGUCCAGUCACAUAGAUGAUAUUUCACUGAAGUACCAGUCUGUUAGUACACUUGUGUAUUUGUAGAAGGUACUGUAUUUGGUAUGUACAUAAAGCACUGAGUACUUUUGACACAUAGCAGAUGGGGAGAGGGUAAGAUAUGCCCCAUAAUUAUGGAAAACUAGAAAGUAUUAUAGCAACACAAGCAUCUGAGUUAAUGUGUGAACUGAUUUUGAAUAUUUGAAUACUUUUGCAGCAUCUCUUAUCAAGAUUGCAUUUUGUAGACGCUCCCUGCACACUCAAGUCAUACCUUUCCAUCAGCUGUAUGACAGCCAGCUGAUCGGACAAUCUCCUUACUGCAAUAACCCAGACCUCAGACCCAGUAAAUUUGCCACAUUUCAAGCCAAAAUAACUCUCUACACUUUAUUCAAGCUGCGCUGUCCUAACUGGACCAAAUGUAAAUCUUAUUUCAAGAUACCUGAACCAUAACUCUCUUUAUGAGCUCCUUGAAAUC